AGAGUUUGAUCCUGGCUCAGAACGAACGCUGGCGGCGUGGAUAAGACAUGCAAGUCGGACGCUUGUAUUUUUGUAGCAAUAUGAGGAUACGGGAGUGGCGAAAGGGUGCGUAACACGUGGGUAAUUUGUCUCGAGAGUUCAGGAUAAUUCGCUGAAAGGCGGAGUAAUACUGGAUGUGGAUAUUGGUUGGGAACAGCUGAUAUCUAAAGCCGGGGACCGCAAGGCCUGGUGCUCUUAGGUAAGCCCGCGACCUAUCAGCUAGUUGGUGAGGUAAGAGCCCACCAAGGCGGAGACGGGUAGCUGGUCUGAGAGGACGACCAGCCACACUGGAACUGAGACACGGUCCAGACACCUACGGGUGGCAGCAGUCGAGAAUUUUUCUCAAUGGGGGAAACCCUGAAGGAGCGACGCCGCGUGGGGGAUGAAGGGCUUCGGCUCGUAAACCCCUGUCAUUUGUGAGCAAGUGUUAUUGUUUAAGAGAUGAUGACAUUGAUAGUAGCAAAAGAGGAAGGGACGGCUAACUCUGUGCCAGCAGCCGCGGUAAUAC
rnacentral:rRNA from 1 species